rnacentral:rRNA from 1 species
UACGUAGGGUGCAAGCGUUGUCCGGAAUCAUUGGGCGUAAAGCGCGCGUAGGCGGCCCGAUAAGUCCGCUGUAAAAGUCAACGGCUCAACUGUUGAAAGCCGGUGGAUACUGUCGGGCUAGAGUACGGAAGAGGCAAGUGGAAUUCCUGGUGUAGCGGUGGAAUGCGCAGAUAUUAGGAGGAACACCUAUAGCGAAGGCAGCUUGCUGGGACGUUACUGACGCUAAGGCGCGAAAGCGUGGGGAGCGAACAGG